GUAUGGGCAAAUUCUGCCAGUAGUAAAUAUAGUCAGACACCAUCCAAAAUAAUCCUUUCAUUCCCCCUUUCCUAAGGUGAGUGCUGUCCUGUACGUACUCGCCUGCGAAUUGAAUACAAUG
rnacentral:snoRNA from 1 species